rnacentral:rRNA from 1 species
AUGGCUGUCGUCAGCUCGUGUCGUGAGAUGUUCGGUUAAGUCCGCUAACGAGCGCAACCCUCGCUGUGUGUUACAAGUGUCACACGGAACUGCCGGUCAUAAACCGGAGGAAGGUGGGGAUGACGUCAAGUCAGCAUGGCCUUUAUAUCCUGGGCUACACACACGCUACAAUGGGAAGGGACAAUAGGUUGCGAAGCCGCGAGGCGGAGCCAAUCCAGCAAAACUUCCCUCAGUUCAGAUUGCAGGCUGCAACCCGCCUGCAUGAAGUUGGAGUUGCUAGUAAACGCAGGUCAGCCAUACUGCGUUGAAUACGUUCCCGGGGCUU